rnacentral:rRNA from 1 species
AUGUGUGCACCCAAUUAUUUCAGGCGUUGCUUUCACGAGAAGGAUGUGGAUGGAGAAUUGCCAAUUCUGUGGAUGGAAGUUGGACCCGAUGAGUGGAUCCGUAUCUUCCUAGAGAUUUGUGGAGAUAAGCCUCUCUUUGGCUCCAUCAGAACUACGUGGCCACCCGAGAAACAGCAAUUUCCAAGUAGUUUCAUCAGAACUGCGAGGUUUAGGGUCGGAGGGAAAAUAUUGAAACCCUUCUGUUAUUCCUCUCAGGUUGCCAGCAAUCAUAUAUAUCCUGGGUCAGCACCAAUGAGCUUUCCAGUCCAAAUUCUCAAGUAA